UGUGCCAGCCGCCGCGGUAAUACGGAGGGUGCAAGCGUUAAUCGGAAUUACUGGGCGUAAAGCGCACGUAGGCGGACGUUUAAGUCAGGGGUGAAAUCCCGGGGCUCAACCCCGGAACUGCCUUUGAUACUGGGUGUCUCGAGUCCUGAAGAGGUGAGUGGAAUUCCGAGUGUAGAGGUGAAAUUCGUAGAUAUUCGGAGGAACACCAGUGGCGAAGGCGACCACCUGGACUGAUACUGACACUGAGGUGCGAAAGCGUGGGGAGCAAACAGGAUUAGAAACCCUGGUAGUCCA
rnacentral:rRNA from 1 species